rnacentral:rRNA from 1 species
AGUCGAACGAUGAACCACUUCGGUGGGGAUUAGUGGCGAACGGGUGAGUAACACGUGGGCAAUCUGCCCUGCACUCUGGGACAAGCCCUGGAAACGGGGUCUAAUACCGGAUACGAGUUUCACAGGCAUCUGUGAUUCUGGAAAGCUCCGGCGGUGCAGGAUGAGCCCGCGGCCUAUCAGCUUGUUGGUGAGGUAACGGCUCACCAAGGCGACGACGGGUAGCCGGCCUGAGAGGGCGACCGGCCACACUGGGACUGAGACACGGCCCAGACUCCUACGGGAGGCAGCAGUGGGGAAUAUUGCACAAUGGGCGAAAGCCUGAUGCAGCGACGCCGCGUGAGGGAUGACGGCCUUCGGGUUGUAAACCUCUUUCAGCAGGGAAGAAGCGAGAGUGACGGUACCUGCAGAAGAAGCGCCGGCUAACUACGUGCCAGCAGCCGCGGUAAUACGUAGGGCGCAAGCGUUGUCCGGAAUUAUUGGGCGUAAAGAGCUCGUAGGCGGCUUGUCGCGUCGGUUGUGAAAGCCCGGGGCUUAACCCCGGGUCUGCAGUCGAUACGGGCAGGCUAGAGUUCGGUAG